rnacentral:rRNA from 1 species
AGCGGCAACACUUCGGGUGGCAAGCGGCGAACUGGUGAGUAAUACAUAAGAAUCUGCCUAAUAGACUGGGAUAGCUCUUGGAAACAGGAAUUAAUACCGGAUAUGCCCAUGGGUGAAAGUGGCGUUUGCCACACUAUUGGAUGAGCUUAUGUUCUAUCAGCUAGUUGGUGAGGUAAUGGCUCACCAAGGCUACGACAGAUAUCCGGCCUGAGAGGGUGAUCGGACACAUCGGGACUGAGAUACGGCCCGGACUCCUACGGGAGGCAGCAGUUAAGAAUAUUCCACAAUGGGGGAAACCCUGAUGGAGCAAUCUCGCGUGGAGGAUGAAGGCCUUUGGGUUGUAAACUCCUUUUAGCAGGGAAGAAUAAAGUGGUAGGAAAUGACCAUUGAUGACGGUACUUGCAGAAAAAGGACCGACUAAUUACGUGCCAGCAGUCGCGGUAAUACGUAAGGUCCAAACGUUGUUCGGAAUCACUGGGCGUAAAGGGUACGUAGGCGGUUUUGCAAGUCAGUGGUUAAAGAUCGGGGCUUAACUCCGAAAGUGCCAUUGAAACUGCUAAACUAGAGUUGUUUAUAUAGGUGAUCAGAAUUCCUAGUGUAGGGGUGAUAUCUGUAGAUAUUAGGAGGAAUACCAAUGGCGAAGGCAAGUCACUGGGUAACAACUGACGCUGAGGUACGAAAGCCAGGGUAGCGAAUGGGAUUAGAGACCCCAGUAGUCCUGGCUGUAAACGUUGCACACUAGCUUUAUGGAUUUUUUUUUCAUGAAGCGGAGCUAACGCGUUAAGUGUGCCGCCUGGGGAGUAUGCACGCAAGUGUGAAACUCAAAGGAAUUGACGGGGGAUCGAAC